rnacentral:misc_RNA from 1 species
UCAAACUUGGUCAUUUAGAGGAAGUAAAAGUCGUAACAAGGUUUCCGUAGGUGAACCUGCGGAAGGAUCAUUAUUGAAUACUGCUCGAUGGGUUGUAGCUGGCUCCUUGGAGCAUGUGCACGCCUGUCUUGAUUCUAUUCAUCCACCUGUGCACCAUAUGUAGUCUCUGGGGGCUGAAUAUCGGCAGUUGACCUUAUCAGUUGAAAGACUGGACAAGAGGAUUGCGAGCACAAAAGUGCCGCUCUCUUCAGCAACAGGUCGUGACCUCCCUUGGAGUCUAUGUCAUUUUAUUUCACAAACCAUGUUGUAGAAUGUAAUCACUAGGCCUUUGUGUCUAUAUAACCUUAUACAACUUUCAGCAACGGAUCUCUUGGCUCUCGCAUCGAUGAAGAACGCAGC